CAUAAUAGACGUCAUGGUGAAAGUUUACGACUAGUUCACCAUGGACUGCCUGAUUAAAGUGAAAUAAGACAUACCUGUACUGAUAACCUGCAGCAAAAUAUCUGAGACUUAGAAUUGUUCAAUCAAAUUACAUCUCAUUGUAUGCUCGAUUUUCUACACUUUCUUUUUUAUAUUACUCUUUGAAUAAUAUGUUCUCUAUCAAUCAAAAAAAAAUGUUCAGUGCACUGUGAAAUAUAUCUGUGAAAAAAAGGAUGUAGCCUACCGAGGUAUAAGUUUCCAAGGAGAUAGGAAAGAAUCCACAGCCAGUUAGACAGCAAGAAAAAAAGCGAUUGAGAAGCUAGCGUAUCAGAGUUAAAGCCUUAUCACUAAAUAGUCACUCACGGUGAGGUUUGGCCAGGAAUAGUAAAAGUCUCUCGUCUGGAGAACCACGCCGUACAGCAUCGCGUAUAUCGUGUAAAACAGCAUGAACUUUCUGUGACGUUGCUCCACGUGAUCUUUCGCGUGCCAGAGACCAACAAC